UCUGACUUUUAAGACAAAAGCUUGUCCCAUGUCACUUGUCUUUUUAAUCAUCAGACUUUUUAGGUGGUUUCUCAUAUUCCUGUGCUUUGGAGAAAAGGUAUUCCAUGGCAUUGUGAAGAUCUGGCAGCUGUAGGAAUGAGAGAAUGUUGUGGUGAAAUGACAAAAUGCAAUAUGUUAACUUGUGUUCAUGUACAAGUAGAAGGGUUUGUAUUUUUUCUCAUUUAGAACAAAUCAUUGUCUCAUAACUUUCCAUGGAUUUCAGUCCAGAAGUUGAAUUAAAAUAAAGUGAAAAGAGUCAUUCACCCAA